CCGCCUCAGGUGCAGUGCGGCCUGGCCUGCCGCGGCUUGGCACCCCCGCAAGGCCAGGGUCACCGGCCAAGGGCAGCCCGCUGUUCGAGGGUGGGGGGGGGUUUACAAAAGCCGUGGGCAUUCUUCCUCUGUCUGUAGGUUCUGCGUUUAUUUAAUUGUUUUGAGUUGCCUUUUUAUUUUCUCCCCCCCGGAGCUCUCAAGGUAGGCGCGCACCUUGCUGGCCGGCUCUGGAGGCGAGGAGGAAGUGCCUUUUGGUAGUCUGUUGCCUUUUGCUGUAAUGCCAGAUCCAGGUCUUCAGAGCUCCUGGGGCCAGUGAAGGAGAAAGGGCAGUCUGAAGUGUGACAGCAUUCAACAGAACCUCAUCAAAUGCUUUUAGAGACCUUUACUAAGAACUGUUGUUGUACGUGAAAAUUGAAUAUUACCUGCUGCAAAACUUCACUGUUGUUUGAAACUUGGCCUUCCCAUUCCCCUCAUCUUCAUUUAAUAAUGAAAACGAAGUGUUAAAUUUAAAUACUGCUACCUUUUAUGAUUUUACAAGAUGAAUGUAUACCACAACAAGCUACUAAUUAUCUCCUGGUUAUAAGCAAAGAGAAAACAAGAAGUAAAGGAAAAAGAAGGACCUCUGAGUUGAAAUAUGCCAGAUGGAUGUAGAACAGGUUUAUGUGGGUUUUCUGCUAGAAUAUGAGUUCUGGUUUUUGUCUUAAGUCACUGUUAAAAAAAAAUGCAUACUUUCAGUUACUGUGUGUAUCCCUAAGUAUCCUUUUACUUUGGCACCUUCAAAACAGGCAUGGCGUUUGUUAAGAUUUUUUUUUUAAAGAAUAAAUUCAAUUUUACUUAAACAUAGCUUUAAUUUAAAUAAAAUGUAAAGCAUAGCUUCAAUUCUUACUUCAGAGAUAGUCUAGGUUUUAGUGUUGUCAUUAUAAUCAUAGAGUUUUUAACAACUCAUAAUGCAACUUCCAUACAUAAUUUUUGUUCAGAGUUUGUCUAUUUUAGCAUAAUCAUGUGCCAUAUUUAGUCCAGACAAAUGUUUUUAGAUUUUAUUAAUUUUAAAAUACUGUCAAGUAUACACAAAUAUAUCCUCCAUAUAUUAACAGCUUAAUUCAUGUAUCUCUACAUUCAUUUUAGACUCUUCCCACUAAUGCAUAGACCACCAAUUAUGUUUCAGGAAAAUAUCUGUCAGUUUUUCAGCGUGGCAACACUUCAGUUAGCUUUAUUAAAAAUCUCUAAUACCAAUCUCCUAGAAGUGCAGAAUGGCAGUCAUUUUAGAUAGUUUGAUUUUUUGGAGUGUGGUUGAAGAGGGUGAUUUGUAACAGUACAUACAGGACUGAUUAAUGAGAUUUCAGUGUUUUUUUGUAUACCUUCCUACCUAAACCAAAAAAAACAAAACAAAACAACCAAACAGAAAACCUCAAAACCCAGCAACAAUACAAUACCCACAAGCCAGUAAGGACAGAUUAGUUGUGGGCCUUUCACCACUUCCUGGUAAUAGCUUAUGGACUCCUAAAGGUUUUACUUUGAAUGAUGGCCAUUUCAGCAAGCAUUUUAGCAGACGCAAGGACGUUCAAGGAGCUUCUGAAAGUUCCUUAUGUUCUGCUUUGUAAAGUCUUUUAGACACACUUGGCGCAAGCUAUGAAUCUGACCCUGAUUUUCAAGCAUUUAAAAGGUCCAAGUAAAAUGGACCUCUGUAAUACUUUUAUUCUUUCCCUUUUUUUUUCAAGUGUACAUUAAGUACAUAUCUGAAGAAACAACAUUUUGCUCCUUUAUUUUUGGUUUAGGUAGCAGUCACAAGAGAUUAGAUGCUGGUAAGUGUAACGAAGCAUGAAGAUGACAAGAUAAAUGAACCAGAAGCUUUUCAGCUUGAUCACAUCCUCCAGUGCAUAAUGGUACAGAUUUUGUAUUCCAGACACAAAUGUCACCUUGGGGUUGGAAUCAUGCUAGAUGAAUCUAUGUGAGUAAGUAUAACUAGAACUAGAAGAUAGCUUUUUCUCUCCCCCCACCCUCCAAUUACCUUCCUACUUUAAAUAUAGAAAGGAAAAUGAGUCCUCCUGAGUUAAGAGAUGAGUUAAUUGCAUGUGGGAAUUCUGAUGGAAAGUUUUCUCUAAAAUAAACGCAGUAAUAAAAGUUGUUCUUCCUUCCUUUUGCAUUUUAGGGGGAAGGACUGCUUCUAGAGAACUAGACUAGACUGAUACUGGUCUCUUUUAGGACAUUAGUACUUGAUUACUACAUAGCACUAUAUAUUAGAAUUGUUAAUUGUAUCACAGAAAAAUUAUUUUUUGUAGUUUUUCUAUUAAAUGUCUUUAAAACCAUGUGCAGAAUGUUACUUCCUAUGUUGUAUAUUAGUUCCAGCAACUGAAAAGAAUGAUAUGCUGGUGGGCUUUUGAAAACCUGAAGAGCAAAAACCUGCCAGGGAACCUAAGUGGGACUUUAAAAAGAAAUUUACAAAUUAUUUAACUACUAUUAAAAAAUUUUAAAAUAAGUGCUGACUAAAGGUCACAAUUAAUAAAUUGUAUAAGCCUGUAUUAAUUUAGUUCCUUCACUUCAUUACAGAAAGACAUUAUUGAUCCAAAAUUUAUUAGCAGUGUUUCAUUAAGCCAGUGGAGGGCAGACUUGAAUUGGAAACUAUUUUUUGCUACUUCAGUUACUUGAACUUAAAAUACCAGAUUGUCAUCAGCUUUGAGCUCCAGGGACUAUCUCAUCAGUUCUCUACUAUUCUAAUUACACUUGUGCUGAAUAAAAGCUUCUUUACAAUUGCUGUUUGACAAAAUGAGUGUUUUGCUAUGUCGCAGUAAGAAUAGUGAAUGUUUAAAUAAAGCUGCUAAUAUGAAAGCAGAUAAGUCAGGGUAUGAGCAGCUGUGUGUUACUCACAGGGGAAAAUCCACACUGCUUAGUAACUAACUAUGUAUAUCUUAAAAUGGUUUUUGAAAGCUAGUGAAUAUCAUCAUCCUCCUUUUACAGUUGAAAAAGCUAAGCAAUAGAGUGGUAGCCUUGCAAGUUACCCAUCUAGGUGACCUACAGAAGCAAGAACAAAAUGCAGAUUUCCGAGAUCUGGUGCAGUGCCCAAGCAUAUCUUUUGCACAAAUAACCUAUGUCAUGUCUAACUCUUGCAACCUAUGGAAAGGAUUGCUGGCAGCCCACAUUGCUGAGGAGCUUACACUGAUGAAAUAGGCAAGUAACCUGACAGGCAGGUUGUAGCUCUUGAGAAAAAUAUUCUCCUCAAUAAGAAGGAUGGCAACCAGGUGGUUAAAGAUCUGUUUUAAGAAUAGUAUUCUGUUACUGAAACAAGUACUCUGCAUUUUUAUGUAUAUUUGUCAUUCUUUAAGUUAGGUUGUACUCUUCCCAAGGAAUGAAGAGCCUUUCUAUGUAGACCUUUAAAAGCUGUUCCAAUCUCAGUACUAGGAGUGUACUGUUAAAAAGUCAAUUUGCAUACAGGUGAAGGAGUAAGAUGCUAAUAGACUGGUUCUUCCUCCAUGUCAUCUUUAAUUAAGGGGGUUUCGAAUUAUGAGUCCUACAGUAGGUUUCCCUUUAACUCGCCAAGCCCACCCUAUUUACCUGUGAUCAGUAGCAUUUGUGGGAUUAGCAUUGACCAUCUAUUCCAUUUUCCUUGUAUGCUUAGGAGGUCAUUAGCCAUUGUAACAGCUUUUUCAAUUAUAAAAAUACAUUGGUUAUUUUUAAUCUAUAAGCCUUGGUGUAAAUUGUUCUUUGUUUCUAAAGACUGGAGGCAGGCUGUUACAAAGCCUGCCAUUUCUAAGACCUGUAUAAGAUACACCACAGAACAUUUGGUGCUGCAUAUUGAAAACUCCAUUUGUAGAAUGAACGAGCACAUUGCACAAUGCAUUUUUUUUCCCUUUUUUUCUUACUGCUAAUUUGCAGUGGACAUUUGUUGAUGAUGGGAAUUAGUCAUCGGUUUGUAUGACUCCAGUGAAAAGGACCACAUUGAAGAUUAUAAAUUAGAAUGUGGAUGAGUGGGCACUUACAGUUUGGACUCAAAUACUGAAUAACCUGUUACUGUGUCAUUAGUUUCUGGUGUGUUUCCAGACAAAUCAUGCUAAAAUAGGAGUCAGAAAUAUCUGGCAGUGGUUUAAAGUAAAUUAAAACAGUGUGGGAAUUAUUCCAAAACUUAUUACUGUAAAUUCAAGCAAUGAAUUUCAGGUUAACCUCCGAAGAAGUAAGUCCAGGGACAUAGAUGUGCCGGGAAGGUUUUCAGACAACCUUUACAUUAGCCUGUUACUGCCUUUUAAACUAUAUUUGAGAUUUUCUAAGUACUGUGUAAAGGUUUGUAAGUAUAGAUUACAAGAGUCCACUUUGAAUUCCUUUAAGAGUCUUGAUUAUUUCUCCUUGUACUUGACAAUUUUACACCUCACAAAGUUGACAUCUCCAGAACACUUUCUAUAAGAGGCCUGAAAAUGCAAUUGUCUCAAAAGGGAAAAGAUUUUUUUUUAUCUUCUGCAGAAGGUAAGCUCUCCUCUUCUCAAAAUAACCACUAAUUGAAGUCAUUUAUUUACAGACUAAUUUUAUAGUAAACCACUGUGUCCCUUAGCUCAAGAAGCAGCAAGAAAGAUAACGAUUCAAUUAACUAAAACUGCUGCUUCGUGGAUUGUGGUUCCCAGUGUCAAACUUCUUUAAUUCAUUCCAAACUGUACAUUGCUACCUAUAAGUUAAACAAAAAAUAUUUCAUACUCCCAGUGAAAAUGCUAUGAUUUUGGGAAGGGUACAUAUAAUAUACCAUAUUUUGAGUCUAAAGUUAAACCUUAAUUUCAAGGUAGCAACAAUACCUUCCAUAAUUUUUUAGAUUUGCUGUAUUUCAGGGUGAGGGGGCUUUAGUUCUCUCAUUUAAUGCCCUCUCUCAGUCUCUUGCAACCCUGCUAAUGUGUUCUUCAUCCUCAGUGUGGAAGUACAAUAUACUGGAAGAGCCAGCACGUUCUCCAGCAAGAGAGCAAAGCUAUGGAUUCAUGGGAAAGACAACAUCCAUCUGCCCCCCCAGAUAAAUCUAAGCCCAUCUUCUCAUCUUAUAGGUGGCUUCCUAUACCUGUUGCUCUGUGGUAAGAAAGAAGACUUUCCAUGAUAAAAUUCCCUUUAUAUUAAAAUCACAGAUAAAUCCACUCUACACUCUUGAAGUUUUUUUGACAGAUAACUUUUAAGCUGUAAACAUAAAAAUCAUGUAUAAAUAGAAAAAGUGUUGAUAAAGCAAUCAUGUAAAAUAAGGUAUAUAUGAAAAUUAAUAUUAAAAAUGUCCCCUAAAUAUGGGGAAAAUGAGAGGUAAGUUCUACCACUGUAAGUUCUACAGCUCUACCUCCACAAUGAUCUUUUCUUACAUUAACGGUGUAUAUUCUCUUUUGUUUGUACCCAAGUUUCAAGUUUGCCUUUUAUUUGUAAUAUAUAUGUGAAAUGUUAAAAAAAAUAAUUAUUUAAGAGCAAUUAAUAUAUUACUACCUCGGAAGCAUGUUGUUGUUAUGUGCAGUUGUGUUUGUUCUGCUGAACAGGCCCAACUCAAGUACAGAGGGAGUUACAGAUGAUGCAAAAUAACUGACUUCGAGCAGUAGCUGUUGCUCUGGGCAGAUUGACCAAAGGCCUCUUGCUGUAUUUGUUUACAUGGAAACAAACGGCUAGAUAUAUACUGUCUGAAUAAAGAACAUGACAUUGUUAUAUGCCUAUGACAAAAAAUAAAGUAGUAUUUUAUUGGCAACGUAUACUUAGUUUUGGAUUUUAAAAAAGAAAGAAAUUUGAAUAUGCCAUGUAUGAAGCUUGUAUUUGAUCAAAAUCAAUUACUCUGGUAAUGGGUUUUUCAGAGAUGGGAGUUUUAAUGACACUGAAAAGAUAAUUCUACAUCAAUGAAAAUUAAAGGCUGCUGCUGUCAAGUUGCCAGGACCCUUAACUAUGCACUGAAGUGUCCUUCUCCCUUUAAGUAAAUUAAGCAUGUUUAUACUUACUGUCACAAGUAGCAGAAAAACACCAAGGGUUGCUUCCAUGUUUAGAAUUUUGUGGAGUCUACUACCUGGGAGCAGACUCCGCUCAAAUUGUCUGAAACUACUAAUCACUAAUCUCGCUCUUGACAUACUUCAGCCCCCAACAGUCUGCUGCAGCUUCUGUUACACCUUCUGGGAAUCUGUGUAUAGUAAUUUCUUUUUCUCCCCAGUUGGCUCCAAGCCAGAAAUACAUCCAUUUGCACAAAUGCUUCUUAACCUUGUGCACACGGGGGUGUUUUCAUUUUAUUUUGUCUUUCUGCUUCUCAGGUUGUUGUAUGUUUUUAUAGUAAAUUUAGUAUUUGUUGAGUUUUCUGUAUAAUAAACCAAUGGUUAUGAUGCAUUUUCUAAA